GGUUGCCAGGCGCGAGAAUUAAUUCCGAAAAUCGACUUCUGAAGUAUUGUUGUGUUGAAAGCUAUUUUCGAUAAUUGAAAAAGAAGAAUCAAGAUAAUACAUUUUCAUUGCAGGUAUCGGCACUUUGUUCAGAUUUUAUACAAGUUAUUAUUAGAAAUGCGAGGAUAAUCGAGACUAAUCGAGAUGGCUUCAUGCGGUCUCACGCUUGGCUCCGCCCAGACAAAUAAGCUUUACUUCUAAAGGAGCGAAGCCACGGGAAACAUCUAGUGUGAUAUAAUGGAC